AGCCCUCUUUCCUUACCCGAGCCCGUCCUCUAUCCGUCACCGACGCGCUGCUUCCUCCUCCCCGAUUUCGCUAAACUUGCCUUCGGUCGAACCCCUCUUCCCCGACCAUCUUCCCUAGCUGAUUCGCCUGAUUACUCCUCCUUAACCCCUCUACUCACUAGGCCUCCUCCAUCCUGAUCAUCGACGCCGAGCUCUCCCGACCACGCCACGCCACAUGACGUCGCCGGAUCACCGCGAGCACCAGCGACGUUACUCCUUCGCCUCCGGCUAGCCGUCGUCGUCCCUCCUUUGUCCCUAAUCUGUGCCCUAAAUCUUUGCUGAUCGCCUUCUCCUUUGUGUCGCCGCGAUCAUGCCGACCGCCCGCGAGCUUACAGCAGGCAAUGAUCUCCUACACGACCACACACCUCGCCAUCGUCGAGUCUUGGCUAUCAUACUACUAAGAUUCCAGCCGCCCUCUCGAUCCCGACGACAUUGCUACGCCGACACAGUUUCUUCAUCGCCGUGCCCUAGUUUCCGGGUGCCGAGUCUUUCUUCCUCUUCACUAAUCUGGAUCAUGGCUCCGGCCAAAAAUCCUUGUGAUGGCUGGGAUACUUGUAGAUAUUAGCGAUACGAACAGAACCUAAAGAUCAAUGGAAGGGUAAUUGUUUUGGAAAUCCACAUCUUCACCCCGCUACAACUAUAUUUCCGGCGGCAAGCACACCUUCGGCUGUGGAUUACCAGCUGAUCGUCCGUGUUUAGGACUCGAAUUUUGAGAUGGACAUUUUUGACAAGGGAUUGGUUUAGCACGAUCAACAGUUAAAGGCAGGCUUUAACUUGAGUUGCUACCUUAUUUAAACAUUGCUCCAGAUUUUUGAUACACCUCUGAUACACAACUACUGCAUAUUGAUUUCAGCAUUUCUUGAUGAAAGAUGUCCUUAGCACUACAAUGGUAUUUCCAAGUUCAGUGGUCUUCAUUAGCUUUCCAUUCCUGCACAACACGGAUGUUCAGAUUUGAUCAUGUUUUUGUAACUUUGAGCAUGAUUCUGUUGUACACAAAUUUCAGCUACCAAUCUUCAAUUCCAUUUAGCACUGCAAAUCAGAAUUACUGAGUAUUAAAGUUUGGAUUGUAAAGAGUUGGCCUCAAGUGAAGAAUUCAUUUGAUAACUCAUUUAAACUGAACUUAAAUCUAAGUGUUAUAGUUCAACAACAGCAUAAAGGUUUGGCACAAUUCAUCCUUCCAUUUCUGAUU